AAUCACUGCUAAAUUGAUUAAAAUCAACCUUACUGUGGUUCUGCAGAUUUCAAGUGAAAACCUAAGAAGUGAGAAAUGUGAUUCAACAAUUCCGUUAAAGGCCACCGAAGAACCCAAUUUCCGACGUUAGUAAGAGCCAUGUGUCAGAAUGAGUCCAGCAUAUUGCAGAUGUAUUAACAGCGCUAAGAACAUGUGCACCACUUGGCAGGCUGUGAGAGGCACAUGCGGGCAGCAUCAAGUGCCGAGGCCAGUGCAUGUUAUCAUUAACGACUGUGGACAGACGGAGCAGGCAGAGCACACAAGUGUCCAUUUCACACCAGCCUGGCAUGGCGGCUUGGCUGGUUCCUCAGAAAUCAGCGGUUCUCUGUUUCGCUGCAGCUUCUGGGGAUUUCUGCUUCUCAUCUGUGAAACCGACUGACCCAAGGUUUGCGUUGUCUUUCGUUGAAAACGAGGAAGGUCUCAGCUGAUGUGUAGUUUUGAACUGCAAUGACACAUUGUAUUGCUUAGGAAGUAAUAUGUGUUAAUCUACAGGGUCUGUCUAAUAAAAUAUUGGUUUGAUUAUUAUUAGAGUAUUUUGAGACCCUAAACUACAAAUCUAUAGCAAGAUAAUCAUAGGUAUAGGCCUAGGCUCUGGACAUCAUUCAGACCACCAUGUUCACAUUUUGUAACUUACAAAACAUGUCUAUUUUCUUUUCCAGGCACCUUCACCUUCUGCACGUCACCAGAGAAACAGCCGUGAGCAUGGACUGUGUUCUGCAAGUCCCACAGCAUGCAGAAAGCAGCAUUGCUAAGCAACAGAUGGCAGAUCAGCAGAGAACAGAGGACCACACACUGAGCUGAGAGCAGGUCAUUGGUAUGUAUGAAGGAAAUGGUUGGCGCAAGAAGGGAUUUGUCUACUGGACCCUUGCGUGUCUUGUGACCCUUCAUACUGCUGAACAGAAAGGGAGCAACAAUGUCCUCUCAUAUUUCAGUUGACUGGUAGGAUUUACAGUACUGACAAAACAUUUUCAGAUCAAAAAUGUGUUCCAAAUUAGGUGGCUUUACGUCAGGUUAGUAAGAAUAAGUAUAGAUCACACAUUCAUGACCCAACAUUUUGUGAAAGUGUUUGAAACGGACAAUUUGGUUAUUCUACUUAUAUCCAGGGCUCUUUGUCAUAAUAUUCUUAAACUCUUUUUUCUUUUGUUUUAUCAUGGUGGAUCUGGUUGCCAGGCAGUCUCUGGGAAAGUUUGCUAAAAAAAAAAAAAAAUGGAUGAAAUGGCAAAUGAACUGCAUUGAUAUUUUUUUCUGGGAUUAAACAUUUUAAUCAGAGUCCAGCUUACACCCAGGUGAAAUGCAGCGCCACAACUACCAAAACACACUCUGGUAUAUUUCCAAUCGUGGUUGCAUCCAAGAAAUAACAUGAGAUUUGGGAGGAGUAUGUUUCUUCCACAAACACAACUCUGUUUUAAGAAUCUUAAAUCGGUAUACAAUUUCAAACUAUGUUUAAAAAAAUCUGUAUAGUGUAGUACAAUUUAUUUCAAAUUUGACCAGCCUAUGUAAUUUGAUUUUGACCGAGAGAUGAAUGCAUUCUGGGCAAAAUAAAAAAAAUAAAAAUGUGGAAGCUAAGAAGAUUCUAACUUAAAGAAAUCGGCACAAAUGGGUUGAUCGAUCGAUUCGUUUGUGAAAUAAAACCUACUACCAAUGCCUAUUACAAACUUAAAACAUAACCAGAAAAAAGGAUUUCCUGUCAAAACAAGACAAAAUAGGAGACAUGCUUUUAUUUUCAGUUGGUUAGAUUAUUGUAAUGGUGUUGAUACUGAUGUGUGUAAAAAACAAAUCUGAUUUGCAGCUGCAGUUCAUCCAGUGCUGCUUUCAGAGUCUUGACCAACACCAGGAAAAUCCUUCAGGACAGGUUGAAGAGCUCAAUGUUAAAGUCAAUUCAUAAAAAGCAGUGGAAGGAUUAAAUCACCUUUGCCAAAGGGAGCCCCUCACACAAUCUCUACAUUCUGCAUCUACUGCAUGGAAAGCCCACAUGUUCAUCACCAACACAUUUUUUUUAAAGAUUACAUUGUUUGAGCUUUACCACAGUCCUGAUUGGUUCUUUCUCAUCUCCUCUUCCACAGCCUCCAUCGUGAUCGCUCCUCUUCGGUUCCACGACCACAUGAUGAUGGCGCGUGUCCAUUUCCCUGGAAACACAAUCCUCUCUCAUGAUGACUGCACAUACCUGUUUCCCUGGCAACACUGGCAAAUGUCCAUUUGUUUUCUCACCUCAAGACUUCUGACCAGCCUUUAAAGCCGCAAAGCCUAAAAUCUAUGGCAACCCCUUGUUUGUUAUUUUAUCCUAUACUCUUACUAUCCUAUGUCGUAUACUCCAUGCUUUUUAUGAUUCCUAUUAUCCUUUAGUCUUGAAUACCUUUCCAACUUGCUGAUGGAUAUUAUAGAUCCCUCAGGUGAUCUGAGACAUGUUUAGUCAGUGAACCACAGCAAAAUUCAGGGAAGUAAUAUUUAUAGUUUCUAUGCUUCUCAGCUCUGGUAAAAACUGCAUAUACCUGGCGUGCAGAAACCGCUGACUCCUUCAAAAUCAGGACUAAAAACAUUACUGUUUACUGUAGCUUUUCAAUAAAGGUAAAA